UUGCCAUUGUUUCCACGUGGCAUUGGAGUGUCAGCAAUUUCGGGUCCGUUCUGAGAUAAUUCAGAAUCUGUCAGGAAACGAAUUUGCAGUGGCACCCUGGGACGUGAGGAGUGGACCGAGAAACAGGAGUUGCAUGUUUAGCCCUCCACCCCCAGUUCCAUUAAACUGCCGCUGAAUUGUAAGGAAAUGCGCAGGCUGCACUUGCAAUUCGACCCUGAAGGGAGCGUAAGACAGGGCGAGGUGUUGGUCCCCUCAUUCUGGGAGCAAUCCUGGAGGAUGCAAAACUGGAUCUCUGCCUGAUGUACAGAAGUUACCAGAUUCCUGAAGACAAAUGAGAGAAUCAAAAUAAAAUAGAUGAAUGGCCAGUCUAUUCCCCAUAAUCAGCAAAAUUAUUUCUGACAGAUAACCAAUACCAAGAAAUACAGAUCUGAAAAUCAAGGUCCUGUAGAUGGUGUGCACAGCAUCCUUAUCCCCUACUAUUGUCAGUAGCUUUCUCCUCUAGACACAAUGCUGUGAAAAUUGAAAGCUUCUGUCCUGAAUACUUCAAGCAACCAUAUGUUUAUUUUGCCAUUCCUGCAAGCACUGCAGUAUCACUCAUUCUUCAACUCACAGAAUUAUAAUUUGGCCUCCAUAUUCAUCUCCAACAUCAGUAGCACUUUGCUUCUAUAUCUAUUUAUUGAAGACAUGUUUGGAUGUAGUGAAAAACCUGAAUUGGGAAUUUCCUAGCUGCAUGCAAUGCUUUUAUAGAUCAGUAACAGACAGAGAAGGAGGCAGAAGAGAUUAAGAACACUGCACUCAGAUGAGUGCAUGACUGUCAGCGAUGCAAGAUAAUAUUCCGCACUAAUAUUUUGAUGAUUCACUAAAUAUGAAAUGUAGCAAAGGAGAUCUAUAGGCCACCAGUCUUCCAGAUGCUCAUCCAUAUUUUGCACAUCAACCCAUUGAAUUCCAGCUGAUGUCGACAUUCCUGAUGAAACAGGUUUUGGAUCUGUUGAGGACCUUACAAAAGAGUGUUCUACCUACAGCAGUGUAAGGACAAGCUCAGCCACUGGGCAAGAUGAGACAGCACAGAGGCAGUGACUGGGCUCAGGUAGCAGGUGAGAAUGGAUACUCUUUGAAUGGAGUUCAUACAUUCACAUCCGGUUUUACCAAUAUCCUAUUCUGAAGCAGUGCUGUGUCAUGCCUAUCACUUUGUACCAGACCAAACAAGUGAAGUUCCGUGGUGUGUUGUAGGGCUAUGCAAUCUGUGAUUCUGUUCACAGUAGCAGUCAAGUUGGCAUCCAACAUCUGCAGAGGGAGCACGGACCCAUUUGGGAGCUAGUUUUGAAGUUCCUCAAGGAUAACCACUCCUACCACAGCAGACAUUCUCUCAAUCCCCUGCACCACCACUGCUUCCUUCAUCUCCUGUUCUAUAACGCAGAAUGGUACAUGACACAUCCAUC